UACGUAGGGUGCGAGCGUUGUCCGGAUUUAUUGGGGCGUAAAAGAGCUCGUAGGCGGUUUGUCGCGUCGGCCGUGAAAUCUCCACGCUUAACGUGGAGCGUGCGGUCGAUACGGGCAGACUUGAGUUCGGUAGGGGAGACUGGAAUUCCUGGUGUAGCGGUGAAAUGCGCAGAUAUCAGGAGGAACACCGGUGGCGAAGGCGGGUCUCUGGGCCGAUACUGACGUGAGGAGCGAAAGCGUGGGGAGCGAACAGG
rnacentral:rRNA from 1 species